rnacentral:rRNA from 1 species
CGUAGGGUGCAAGCGUUAAUCGGAAUUACUGGGCGUAAAGCGUGCGCAGGCGGUUUUGUAAGUCUGUCGUGAAAGCCCCGGGCUCAACCUGGGAAUUGCGAUGGAGACUGCAAGGCUUGAAUCUGGCAGAGGGGGGUAGAAUUCCACGUGUAGCAGUGAAAUGCGUAGAGAUGUGGAGGAACACCGAUGGCGAAGGCAGCCCCCUGGGUCAAGAUUGACGCUCAUGCACGAAAGCGUGGGGAGCAAACAGGAUUAGAUACCCUGGUAGUCCACGCCCUAAACGAUGUCUACUAGUUGUCGGGUUUUAAUUAACUUGGUAACGCAGCUAACGCGUGAAGUAGACCGCCUGGGGAGUACGGUCGCAAGAUUA